rnacentral:rRNA from 1 species
AGCAUGUGGUUUAAUUCGAAGCAACGCGAAGAACCUUACCAGGGCUUGACAUCCUCUGACGACGCAAGAGAUUGCGUUUUCCCUUCGGGGACAGAGAGACAGGUGGUGCAUGGUUUGUCGUCAGCUCGUGUCGUGAGAUGUUGGGUUAAGUCCCGCAACGAGCGCAACCCCUAUUGUCAGUUGCCAUCAUUCAGUUGGGCACUCUAAGCAGACUGCCGUGGAUAACACGGAGGAAGGUGGGGACGACGUCAAAUCAUCAUGCCCCUUAUGACCUGGGCUACACACGUGCUACAAUGGUCUGAACAGAGGGCUGCGAAACCGCGAGGUGAAGCUAAUCCCUUAAAACAGAUCUCAGUUCGGAUUGCAGGCUGCAACUCGCCUGCAUGAAGUUGGAGUUGCUAGUAAUCGCAGAUCAGAAUGCUGCGGUGAAUGCGUUCCCGGGUCUU